AAAUUGGACCAAUGUGAAUAGUUAAUUUUAAAUAUCUUUGCAGGUUUACUAUCCCUCAUUAUCAAAGUGAAGGUCCACCAUCUAGUGUUCGUGAAUGGGCAGAUUGGACCGACGUGAGAAAUACAAUUGAUAAUGAUGACGUAAAUAUAAGUGAUGAGGAGUAUGUUAUUGAAAGUGUUGUAGAGGAUCAAAGGCGAAUUGAUGCUGAUUCUAGUGAUGAUGAUGAUGAAUCCUUUGUUCAGCCACGUGGUCACGUCGAGAGAGUAUUGGUAUGAUUUUAAUAUAUAAUAUCUCUUUAUAUUUAUUUUUAUAUAUACAAGAAAGUUUCGUAUAAUUUUUAUAAUGGUGCUUUUAUUUUAGGUUGAUAUCGUGCAAAGAUUACAUUGUACGAUUAGAUGUGUCCUGCCAGAUAUUCCGAGAGGUGGAGUAGUAGAUGCUCUAUUACACGUUGCCGAUCAGAUGGAAGCAGUUUUGGAUACUUUACCUACGC
rnacentral:lncRNA from 1 species